rnacentral:rRNA from 1 species
AUGCAACCCCGAAAUCAAUCCCAAGCAUCAAGUAUCAGGACACUACGGAAACCUGAAUCGCCAAGACCGGACCCAUCAAGUACCCCUUCGGAUUCGUCAAGACCGUCAUGUACGACUACACCCAGUGAUGCGUCAAGUACCUCUACCGUCGACCCUGUGGGCGUCAAGUUCCUCUAUGAAACGUGUACCACUACGCCUAAGUUCCACUACAAGAUGUACCACUAUCGUCGCCGAAGACCGUCAAGUGUACAACUACCGCCACCGUUGAUUCGACAAGACAACGUGUACAACUAUUUCCACUACCGUCGACACAUGAACAACUACUUCACACGACGACCCGUGAACGACUACUUCCCUCGAUGA